AUACGGAGGGUGCGAGCGUUAAUCGGAAUUACUGGGCGUAAAGCGUGCGUAGGCGGUUUGCUAAGUCAGAUAUGAAAGCCCCGGGCUUAACCUGGGAACUGCAUUUGAUACUGGCAGACUAGAGUAUGAUAGAGGGGGGUAGAAUUCCUGGUGUAGCGGUGAAAUGCGUAGAUAUCAGGAGGAAUACCAGUGGCGAAGGCGGCCCCCUGGAUCAAUUCUGACGCUGAGGUACGAAAGCGUGGGGAGCGAACAGGAUUAGAAACCCUAGUAGUCC
rnacentral:rRNA from 1 species